AAAGCGUGCGCAGGCGGUUCUAUAAGACAGAUGUGAAAUCCCCGGGCUCAACCUGGGAACUGCAUUUGUGACUGUAGAGCUGGAGUACGGCAGAGGGGGAUGGAAUUCCGCGUGUAGCAGUGAAAUGCGUAGAUAUGCGGAUGAACACCGAUGGCGAAGGCAAUCCCCUGGGCCUGUACUGACGCUCAUGCACGAAAGCGUGGGGAGCAAACAGGAUUAGAUACCCCGGU
rnacentral:rRNA from 1 species